UUAUUAUAAAAUAAAUUUGAUUCUAGUUUAUAAAAAUUAUUAUUUAAGUAUAUUUAAUAUUUAAAUUUUUGUGUGAGGUUUUAAUUUAUUUAAAAAAUAAAUUAAAUGUGAGUUUAAAAUUCGCAGUUUUUAGUUUUAUAUAUGUAGUAAUUUAUGAUAUAGUUAAUUUAAAUGUGACUAGCAAAAGGUGUGCCAGCAGCUGCGGUUAUACAUCUAGUCAGAAUAAUUUUUUUUAGAUAAAUUAUUAUAUUUUAAUUUAUUUUAGACUAAAAUUUAUUUAUAUUUUAAGUGAAAUUUAAUGGAAUUUUUUAUUAGUUUAGUUAAAAUUAUUAUAAGAAAUUCUUAUUAAUAAACUAGGAUUAGAUACCCUAUUAUAAAGAAUGUAAAUUUUUUUCUUAGUAUUAUAAGUUAAGAUCUUUAAAUUGAAAGAAUUUGACGGUAAUUUUAAUCAUUUUAGAGGAACCUGUUCUGUAAUCGAUAAUCCACGAUAAAUUUUACCUUUAAAAAAUAUUGUUUGUAUAUCUCUGUCUGAUUGAAUGUUUUAUUAGGAAUAUUUUCUUAAAUUUUUUUAAAAUUUAUGUCAGGUCAAGGUGCAGCUAUUUAUGGGUUUGAAAUGGGUUACAUUUAAUUUAUUAAUUAUUAGAUUGAUUCAUGUAUUUGGUUCAUGAAAUUGGAUUUAGUUGUAAUGUUAAAUAUAUAUUUUUCAUGAUAUAUGUUCUUGAUUAAGUACACAUCGCCCGUCACUCUCACUAUUAAAGUGGGAUAAGUCGUAACAAAGUAGUCCUAUCGGAAGAUGGGGCUGGAAUUAUA
rnacentral:ncRNA from 1 species